UUUCCUGCAGCUAUCACUGGUUCCUGAGGCUGCUCAGGGCAGACAGCAGAGAGAAUGAAGACUGUGCUGCCAAGUGUUCUCCUGGGGAUGUUCGCUAUGUUAAAGGCACAAGCAAAGAUCUCUAAAGAGCUAUUUGACAUAGGAAAGAUCACAUGGAUGUGUUAAGGAAGAUAUUUUGGGUAGCCACGUGGACAUGCCAGGGAAAUUUGCAUUUUCUAGGUCUAGGGAAGCAUACGUGGUAGAGACAGACUAUAAGACUUAUGCCAUAGUGAAUGUUUCCAUGUUAAAGAACGGGAUGACACUUAGUGCCUUGAAGUUUUUCAGUACGUGCUGGGACCACAGAGCUGGAGUCAGAGGGGAUUGUGACCACAUUGGAAACACAGCAGAUAUGGGAGAUCUGAGAAAAACUGAUGGAAAAGCAGAAUGAUCAGUCUGUCCUCAAUGAGGCUAAGCCUCCACUUGGUCGAACCCUGGAGAACACUGAUAAAGGUUUGAAGAGAUUAAGAGAAAUUAGUGAACAAAUUGGGAUCUCCAGGGAUAAUGUAUUCAUGUUGAUCUAUGAUGAUACAUGUGUGAAGAUGUUGAAGAAGGAUAAUUUGUAGAAGAGCAUAUUUUGGUUACCAGUGGAGAAAGUUACCUGCCCUGCCUCCAAGGAUUCACAGACUUGAUGGUCCUUUUUCUCCUUCUCCAUCCUUCCAUCCUUCUAUCCUCUCUUUCCAUAUCCCCAACCUCUCUCAUAGGGUUAGUCUCAGUAUUGAAUAAAUUUAUAUU